UGAGGAAUAUUGGUCAAUGGGCGCAAGCCUGAACCAGCCAUCCCGCGUGAAGGAAGAAGGCGCUAUGCGUUGUAAACUUCUUUUCCAGGGGGAGAAUUUUUCCGUCGUGACGGGAAUUGACGGUACUCUGGGAAUAAGCAUCGGCUAACUCCGUGCCAGCAGCCGCGGUAAUACGGAGGAUGCGAGCGUUAUCCGGAUUUAUUGGGUUUAAAGGGUGCGUAGGCGGAUAGAUAAGUCAGUGGUGAAAUUCUGCAGCUUAACUGUAGACUUGCCGUUGAUACUGUCAGUCUUGAGUAUGGUCAAGGCAGGCGGAAUGUGUAAUGUAGCGGUGAAAUGCUUAGAUAUUACACAGAACACCGAUUGCGAAGGCAGCUUGCUGGGCCAUUACUGACGCUGAUGCACGAAAGCGUGGGGAUCGAACAGG
rnacentral:rRNA from 3 species